GUGCUCACCUCGGCAACACACAGACUUUACUCGGAACCAUACAGAGAAUAGCACGUCCCCCGCGGAUGGAAGAUGUAAAAAUCCAUAAAGCGUUCCAGGCACUC
rnacentral:snRNA from 1 species